AAGCUCGUGUUGAUUUCGGGAUUAGUACGUCGGUCGUGCCUUAGGUACGUACUGGUGUUACUGGUUCCUACCUUCUGACGAACCAUCAUGUCAUUAAUUUGGUGUGGUGGGGAAUCAGGACAGUUACUUUGAAAAAAUUAGAGUGUUUAAAGCAGGCUCGCGCUUGAAUACAUUAGCAUGGAAUAAUGAAAUAGGACGUUGAUCCUAUUUUGUUGGUUUCUAGGAUUGACGUAAUGAUUAAUAGGGAUAGUUGGG
rnacentral:rRNA from 1 species